UUAAAUUGAAGAGUUUGAUCAUGGCUCAGAUUGAACGCUGGCGGCAGGCCUAACACAUGCAAGUCGAACGGUAACAGGAAACAGCUUGCUGUUUCGCUGACGAGUGGCGGACGGGUGAGUAAUAUCUGGGAAACUGCCUGAUGGAGGGGGAUAACUACUGGAAACGGUAGCUAAUACCGCAUAACGUCUCAAGACCAAAGAGGGGGACCUUCGGGCCUCUUGCCAUCGGAUGUGCCCAGAUGGGAUUAGCUAGUAGGUGGGGUAACGGCUCACCUAGGCGACGAUCCCUAGCUGGUCUGAGAGGAUGACCAGCCACACUGGAACUGAGACACGGUCCAGACUCCUACGGGAGGCAGCAGUGGGGAAUAUUGCACAAUGGGCGCAAGCCUGAUGCAGCCAUGCCGCGUGUAUGAAGAAGGCCUUCGGGUUGUAAAGUACUUUCAGCGGGGAGGAAGGGAGUAAAGUUAAUACCUUUGCUCAUUGACGUUACCCGCAGAAGAAGCACCGGCUAACUCCGUGCCAGCAGCCGCGGUAAUACGGAGGGUGCAAGCGUUAAUCGGAAUUACUGGGCGUAAAGCGCACGCAGGCGGUUUGUUAAGUCAGAUGUGAAAUCCCCGGGCUCAACCUGGGAACUGCAUCUGAUACUGGCAAGCUUGAGUCUCGUAGAGGGGGGUAGAAUUCCAGGUGUAGCGGUGAAAUGCGUAGAGAUCUGGAGGAAUACCGGUGGCGAAGGCGGCCCCCUGGACGAAGACUGACGCUCAGGUGCGAAAGCGUGGGGAGCAAACAGGAUUAGAUACCCUGGUAGUCCACGCCGUAAACGAUGUCGACUUGGAGGUUGUGCCCUUGAGGCGUGGCUUCCGGAGCUAACGCGUUAAGUCGACCGCCUGGGGAGUACGGCCGCAAGGUUAAAACUCAAAUGAAUUGACGGGGGCCCGCACAAGCGGUGGAGCAUGUGGUUUAAUUCGAUGCAACGCGAAGAACCUUACCUGGUCUUGACAUCCACGGAAGUUUUCAGAGAUGAGAAUGUGCCUUCGGGAACCGUGAGACAGGUGCUGCAUGGCUGUCGUCAGCUCGUGUUGUGAAAUGUUGGGUUAAGUCCCGCAACGAGCGCAACCCUUAUCCUUUGUUGCCAGCGGUCCGGCCGGGAACUCAAAGGAGACUGCCAGUGAUAAACUGGAGGAAGGUGGGGAUGACGUCAAGUCAUCAUGGCCCUUACGACCAGGGCUACACACGUGCUACAAUGGCGCAUACAAAGAGAAGCGACCUCGCGAGAGCAAGCGGACCUCAUAAAGUGCGUCGUAGUCCGGAUUGGAGUCUGCAACUCGACUCCAUGAAGUCGGAAUCGCUAGUAAUCGUGGAUCAGAAUGCCACGGUGAAUACGUUCCCGGGCCUUGUACACACCGCCCGUCACACCAUGGGAGUGGGUUGCAAAAGAAGUAGGUAGCUUAACCUUCGGGAGGGCGCUUACCACUUUGUGAUUCAUGACUGGGGUGAAGUCGUAACAAGGUAACCGUAGGGGAACCUGCGGUUGGAUCACCUCCUUACCUUAAAGAAGC
rnacentral:rRNA from 1 species